GACGAACGCUGGCGGCGUGCUUAACACAUGCAAGUCGAACGAAGUGGCGAACGGGUGAGUAACGCGUAAUCAACCUGCCCUUCAUAGGGGGACAACAGUUGGAAACGACUGCUAAUAUCGCAUACUGAAGGAGGGGAUUGCGUCUGAUUAGCUAGUUGGAGGGGUAACGGCCCACCAAGGCGAUGAGCAGUAGCCGGGCGGGGAGGAAGAACGGCCACAUGGGGACUGGGACAGGGCCCAGACUCCUACGGGAGGCAGCAGUGGGGAAUCGUCCGCAAUGGAAGAAAGUCUGACGAAGCAACGCCGCGUGAGUGAUGACGGCCUUCGGGUUGUAAAGCUCUGUUAAUCGGGACGCGGUACCGGAAUAGAAAGCCACGGCUAACUACGUGCCAGCAGCCGCGGUAAUAC
rnacentral:rRNA from 1 species